rnacentral:rRNA from 1 species
GACGAACGCUGGCGGCGUGCUUAACACAUGCAAGUCGAACGGAAAGGCCCUGCUUUUGUGGGGUGCUCGAGUGGCGAACGGGUGAGUAACACGUGAGUAACCUGCCCUUGACUUUGGGAUAACUUCAGGAAACUGGGGCUAAUACCGGAUAUGAGCUCCUGCUGCAUGGUGGGGGUUGGAAAGUUUCGGCGGUUGGGGAUGGACUCGCGGCUUAUCAGCUUGUUGGUGGGGUAGUGGCUUACCAAGGCUUUGACGGGUAGCCGGCCUGAGAGGGUGACCGGCCACAUUGGGCCUGAGCUACGGCGCAGACUCCUACGGGAGGCAGAAGUGGGGAAUAUUGCACAAUGGGCGGAAGCCUGAGGCAGCGACGCCGGGUGCGGGAUGACGGCCUUCGGGUUGUAAACCGCUUUCGCCUGUGACGAAGCGUGAGUGACGGUAAUGGGUAAAGAAGCACCGGCUAACUACGUG